GAUGAACGCUGGCGGCGUGCCUAAUACAUGCAAGUCGAGCGAACAGACGAGGAGCUUGCUCCUCUGACGUUAGCGGCGGACGGGUGAGUAACACGUGGAUAACCUACCUAUAAGACUGGGAUAACUUCGGGAAACCGGAGCUAAUACCGGAUAAUAUAUUGAACCGCAUGGUUCAAUAGUGAAAGACGGUUUUGCUGUCACUUAUAGAUGGAUCCGCGCCGCAUUAGCUAGUUGGUAAGGUAACGGCUUACCAAGGCAACGAUGCGUAGCCGACCUGAGAGACGGGGCGUCGACACGGGAGCGGGACCGGGGACAAGAGCACGACGAGACGGAACAGGAGGCAAGGGGCGGCAAUGGGCGGAAGUCUUACAGAACGGCAGCACGGCAGAGACAGAAAUGUCCGGAUCGGAAAACUCGCUGACUAGGUAAAAACCAAUGUCUAAGGUACUAUACACGGCGUGACGGUAACGAAUCAGAAAGCCACGGCUAACUACGUG
rnacentral:rRNA from 1 species